GAUGAAGAACGUAGCGAAAUGCGAUAAGUAAUGUGAAUUGCAGAAUUCAGUGAAUCAUCGAAUCUUUGAACGCACAUUGCGCCCUCUGGUAUUCCGGGGGGCAUGCCUGUUCGAGCGUCAUUACAACCCUCAAGCUUUGCUUGGUAUUGGACAUUGCCAGUUUCUGGCAGGUCUUAAAAUCAGUGGCGGUGCCAUUUGGCUUCAAGCGUAGUAAUUCUUCUCGCUUUGGAGAUCCAAGUGGUUACUUGCCAAUAACCCCCAAUUUUUUCAGGUUGACCUCGGAUCAGGUAGGGAUACCCGCUGAACUUAAGCAUAUCAGUAGCGGAGGA
rnacentral:misc_RNA from 1 species